ACUCCUACGGGAGGCAGCAGUGGGGAAUAUUGCACAAUGGGGGAAACCCUGAUGCAGCCAUGCCGCGUGUGUGAAGAAGGCCCUCGGGUUGUAAAGCACUUUCAGUAGGGAGGAAGGUAGUGUAGUUAACACCUGCAUUAUUUGACGUUACCUACAGAAGAAGCACCGGCUAACUCCGUGCCAGCAGCCGCGGUAAUACGGAGGGUGCGAGCGUUAAUCGGAAUUACUGGGCGUAAAGCGCAUGCAGGCGGCCUGUUAAGUCAGAUGUGAAAGCCCGGGGCUUAACCUCGGAAUUGCAUUUGAAACUGGCAGGCUAGAGUCUUGUAGAGGGGUUAGAAUUUCAGGUGUAGCGGUGAAAUGCGUAGAGAUCUGAAGGAAUACCAGUGGCGAAGGCGGCCCCCUGGACAAAGACUGACGCUCAGAUGCGAAAGCGUGGGAGCAAACAGGAUUAGAUACCCCUGGUAGCGACUGA
rnacentral:rRNA from 1 species